rnacentral:rRNA from 1 species
UACGUAGGGUGCGAGCGUUGUCCGGAAUUAUUGGGCGUAAAGAGCUUGUAGGCGGUUUGUCGCGUCUGCCGUGAAAAUUCGAGGCUCAACCUCGAACUUGCGGUGGGUACGGGCAGACUAGAGUGUGGUAGGGGAGACUGGAAUUCCUGGUGUAGCGGUGAAAUGCGCAGAUAUCAGGAAGAACACCCGUGGCGAAAGCGGCUCUCUGGAACGGUACUGACGCUGAGACGCGAAAGCGUGGGGAGCGAACAGG